rnacentral:rRNA from 1 species
AUUGAACGCUGGCGGCAGGCCUAACACAUGCAAGUCGAGCGAGCGGCGGAAGGGUGAGUAAUGUAUGGGGACUGCACGAUAGAGGGGGAUAACUACCGGAAACGGUGGCUAAUCCAGCAUCCAGUCGGAUAACCCAUAUUGUAUUAGCUAGUAGGUAAGGUAAUGGCUUCCAUAGGCGCCGCUCCCUAGCUGGUCUGAGAGGAUGAUCAGCCCCACUGGGCCUGAGACACGGUCCAUACUCCUACGGAGGCAGCAGUGGGGAAUAUUGCACAAUGGGCGCAAGCCUGAUGCAGCCAUUCCGCGUGUAUGAAGAAGGCCCUAGGGUUGUAAAGUACUUUCAGUCGGGAGGCGUUACCGACAGAAGAAGCACCGGCUAACUCCGUGCCAGCAGCCGCGGUAAUUC